ACGGAGGGUGCAAGCGUUAUUCGGAAUUACUGGGCGUAAAGCGCGUGUAGGCGGUCCUGCAAGUCUGAUGUGAAAUCCCCGGGCUUAACCCUGGAAGUGCAUUGGAAACUGUGAGACUUGAGUACUGGAGAGGAAGAUGGAAUUCCCGGUGUAGGGGUGAAAUCCGUAGAGAUCGGGAGGAAUAUCAGUGGCGAAGGCGACCAACUGGACGGUAAUUGACGCUGAGACGCGAAAGCGUGGGGAGCAAACAG
rnacentral:rRNA from 1 species